AAGUUGUCCUCAUACCUCCUGCUGAGGGAAGAUCUGUUGAGGGGUGUUUGUGAAGCAUCUCUCAAGAACUUACUUGACAGCCCCUGUGAAGGCAAAGAAUAUCUCUGUGUUUUAUCUGUCCUGGGGCUUCUGUCUUUCCCCACUGAGCUCCUUUCUGUAUCAAGAAGAACAACUUAGCUGGGGAGACUAAGGAGAGACUUGAAGAGAAAAGGUGAAGUAGAUAGUUUCAAAAGCUGCUGGCCUCACGCUCCACAAUCUGUCUGUGCCAGGUAGUUCAGGUGUGGAACCGCAGGCGUUAGCCCUGGUGUGCAGAACUGCUGGGAGGGCGGCCCCACGUGCGCAUGUUUUCCGACCUGUAGCCAGGUUCCUUAUGAGCUGACAUACAGAGCUGGGAAGGAAGGUAAGCAGCCUCUUUUCCGUGCAAACAAGACCUUGUCCCACGCCUUUCUCAGGUAUCUAUGCAGCCUACAGGUUAUGUCUUGAAUCUGAGGGUUGGAAGAAGAAAAAAGGAAAUGGUUCAUCUAAAUUAGUAAUCUAGGGGACUGGAAUGGUUCCUUUACCAAAGGAACUAUUGAUUGGACUAUAGUGUGGACUAUAGAUUCUGUUUAUCUAUUUAUAGGAAAAAUCAGGAUUUUUCUCUGUUCGUGAGUUAUCAACCAUUAUAAAGUUUUCAUCUACUGACUUGAUAAAAUGUCUUUCUUCUCAUCAUGGAUCAAAGCUGUUUUCAUCAUUUUCUUUGCAUUUCUUCUUUGCUCUGACAAACUGCAUGUCAUUCAUACUUUCAUCUUACGUUUGUACUGGAGAACAUGAGCCAGUCUGUGCAACCAAUGGUCAGACUUACCGUAAUAUAUGUAUUCUCUGCAGUGAAAAGAUGGUUCUUCGUGAAAAUUUUUAAGUUGAUCAUUUUGGUGUUUGUUGAAUUUUGAUGAAGAUAUACACCUUUAUAGUUCUAAUGUGAUCUAAUUUUGCAGUCAAUUCUACAAUUAGAAUUUGAUUUCUUUCAACUGGGUCCUUAAAUUCACAGAUGAUCAGAUAAAUCCUCUUAUGGAACAUGAGAUGGAAAAUAGAAUUUCAAAGUUACUGCUAAUUCCAAGAUUUUUUUAUUUCAGGACUUUGAUUCUCCAUGUUUGAUUAUUCAGUGACAGUUUGAAAAAUAUCUUAAAUAUGUUUGAUGUCAUAAAACCUAAUACAACUUAAAAUCUUAAAUAUUUCAUUCAAAAAAGUUAAUGAUUUAGUCUUUUUAAAAAUCUUUCUUUUUUAUAAUAAAGGGAAUAUUGCCCAUUAGGAUAUAAAAAUACAUUCAUUUAGUUGUAUAAUCUUUUUUUUACAGAUGCUUCUAAAGUAGUUCAGUAAACAUGGUAUAUCGAUACAUGUGUUCUUUAAUUUUUAUUCAAUAAAUUACAUAAAAGCCUACUGAGAGCUUACAGUGAACGAUGUCAGUUUGGAUUCAUGAUCUCUGAAGAAGAUUUAGCUUUGGGACCAGGGACCAAACUUGAUCACUCACGAGUUUUUGUGUAGCAGAGUUUUACUAAAGUAUCGGAAGGGUCAGAGAAACCGUCCAACAUAGACAUCAGAAGAGGGUCAGAGAAAUGCCCUCAACUCACAAGUCUUAUCAAGGCCUUAUAUACUUUUACCAGACCCACUCUCACAACAGACAUCUUAAAUUAACAAGAUUAGAACUAACAAUAGAAGGGUCUUACCAGACCCCUCCCACAAUAUAGUCUUAAAAUAACAAGAUUAGUCAGAAGGUUCUUGUUAAGGAGAAACAUGACCUCUAUCAAGAUACAUUAUCAUAUUGACUAAGAUAAAGCAAUGUAGAAAACCAGGUUUGUUCUUUUCUCCUUGAGAGCCCCAGACCCCUUUCUCCUUGAGGGCCCUGAACUCCUUUCUCCUCCUUCGGGACACUGGACUUCUUAUCAAUCUGCCUAGAAAAUGACUCUCUCAUCCCUCCCUUUUCUUUUAGGAGAAUUAUGUUGCCAAGGGAAAGGGGCAUCAUUUUUAUUCCAUAACUAUGUCCUUCUGUUGAAGGGCAUCAUCCCUGAAUUGUUGAGGCAACAUAUUCUCCUAACCCUCAUAUAGAGUCUCUGAUCCAGGGCCCCCAGUAGUUGGAGGAGGCUGUGGCACUUAUAGGAGCCUAGACAACAAUUUGUAACCUAAAAGCUUUCAUAUGGUUAGAGACAAACCCCAUUAUACAGUUAUAGAUACAAGGCAAAAUAGUCAUUAAACCAAAUUAAAACAUAAUCAAAAUUAAAAGUCACAUUAUGUCCAUAGUUAAGGUACAAUGCAUGAUAUCAGCCCAUCUUAGGAUUUCUAGAUGUCAUCAGAUCAAGAAGAGGUGUCACAUAUGAUUGUUGUUGGUGAAGAUAUUCCCAGAAUUGAAGAAAGUCCUUACCUUGAAGGGGAGAAACCCACCACGUCAAGCCUUCAAUCGAUGAGGAGUGCUCCGCAGAACCAGCAAUUAGACCAAUUGUGGAGGCUGGGUCAGGGGUCACCUCCCAGAGUUCUCAUAAUGUCUGUUGAAACGCUGAAAGCUGAGUCACAUAGUUGGUUCUAAGGCUUCAGGAUCUAUAACAAUAUCUGUGUGCAAAAACACUCUGUCAUAGAGACAGACCCUUCUUCCUAGGUGCAGUUCACCCUCACUAGCUUUGUUUGUAGGGGUGCUUCCUCAGGUCAACUUCCUAAGGCCCUGGAAUCCUCACAUUCCAGGAUGUCUGGCUCUAGAUGAGUGAUCAUUCUAUCAUGAUUAUCUGGGUCAUGAAGAUCUUUUUUGUAUAGUUCUUCUGUGUAUUCUUGUCACCUCUUAAUAUCUCUGCUUCUGUUAGGUCCAUACCAUUUCUGUCCUUCAUUGAGCCCGUCUUUGCAUGAAAUAUUCCCUUGGUAUCUCUAAUUUUCUUGAAGAGAUCUCUAGUCUUUCCCAUUCUAUUUUUGCAUUGAUCACUGAGGAAGGCUUUCCUAUAUCUCCUUGCUAUUCUUUGGAAGUCUGUAUUCAAACGGGUAUAUCUUUCCUUUUCUCCCUUGACUUUCGUUUCUCUGCUUUUCACAGCUAUUUGUAAGGCCUCCUCAGACAACCAUUUUUUUUUUCCCCCUAUUUCAUUUUCCUGGGGAUGGUCUUGAUCCCUGCCUCCUGUACAAUGUCAUAAACCUCCAUCCAUAGUUCUCCAGGCACUCUGUUUAUCAGAUCUAGUCCCUUGAAUCUAUUUCUCAUUUCCACUGUAUAACUGUGAGGGAUUUGAGUCAGGUCAUAAUUGAAUGGCCUAGUGGUUUUCCCUACUUUCUUCAAUUUAAGUCUGAAUUUGGCAAAAAGGAGUUCAUGAUCUGAGCCACAGUCAGCUCCGGUCUUGUUUUUGCUGACUGUAUAGAGCUUCUCUAUCUACGGCUGCAAAGAAUAUAAUCAAUCUGAUUUCAGUAUUGACCAUCUGGUGAUGUCCAUGUGUAGAGUAUUCUCUUGUGUUGUUGGACGAGGGUGUUUGCUAUGACCGGUGUGUUCUCUUGGCAAAACUCUAUUAGCCUUUGCCCUGCUUCAUUCUGUACUCCAAGGCCAAAUUUACCUAUUACUCUGGGUAUUUCUUGACUUCCUACUUUUGCAUUCCACCCCCCUGGACUUUUUUUUAUCAACCUGACUAGUAAUUGACUCUCCCACUACUAUGUGUGAAAUAGUAGAACAGACAAUAAGGAUAAGAUGGUCAGUAAAACUGAGUAUCAGUGUUCUCUAGGAUUUUUCACUGUGCUGGCUAAAGUUAUUAUCUAUUAUCAAAUGGGAUUUUUCUUUGAGUGCUUUUAUCUACAAAAGCUGCAGUAGGCCAUUUCCCACCUGUUAGCUAACUUAGUUCUUAAAAAAAUCUCAUCAGACAUUGGCUCCAUACUUCAGCUACAUAAAAGUGAGAUGGGACUGUCACAAUAUUUAAAACAUUCCAUUUUUACAAUGAAAAGGCAAUUUUAAUAGAGAAUGUGCUAUCAUAUUACUUUAAAAACAGAUUUAUGGAUAUAUUUACUUACCAAAAUUGUAAACAUUUUUAGGAAUAAUACAAUGAUUUUUAUAAAUAUACAGAAAUAUGCCACCUUCAGUGUGAUCCUAUUUAAAUUAUUUUCAUCACCCCCUAAAAGUUCUUCAGGCUUGAAUGCAGAUAAUCCUUCCCAUUCACAUCUCCAGGCAACCACUAACCUACAUCCUCCCCAUACUGUUUUGCCUUUUUUAGGAUGUUUCACAUAAAUAAAAUGAAGCAUGAUGCAGUUGUUUCUAAUUUGCCUCUUCCACUAGGCAUGAUAACUUGUAAGUUCAUAUACUCUAUCAUUUAUUAGUAGUUCAUUAUUUUUACUUGAUGAAUGAAUGACAGUGUGUUUAUUUACCAGCUGAUGGGCACUUGAAUUAUUUUCACUUUUUGGCUAUUAAGAAUAAUGCUACAUUGAAAAUUAGUGCACGAGUAUUUGUGUGGACAAAUGUUUUUCUGUUUCUUUUUCUCUUGAGUGAAUAGCAGGAACAGAAAGGAUGAUUCAUAUGUUAGGUGUAUGCUGAAAUUUUUAAGAACCACUUUGUAAGAGCCCAUUAUCUAAAGUGUGUGCAUGUGUGCUCAGUUGCUUCAGUCAUGUCUGACUCUUUGCAACCCUAUGGACUGUAGCCCACCAGCCUCCUCUGUCCAGGAGAUUCUCCAGGCAGGAAUACUGCAGUGGGUUGCUGUGCCUUUCUCCAGGGGAUCUUCUGACCCAAGGACCGAAUCCACAUCUCCUGUGUCUUCUGCGCUGCAGGUGGAUUCUUUACCACUGAGCCACCAGAGAGGCCCAUUAUCCAAAGUGGCUUCUUAUAUUUCCACCAACAAUGCAUGACAUUACAGUUUCACCACAUCCUUAUGAACAAUUGUUAUUAUUUUUCUGUUUUGAUUAUAGUCAUUGUGGCAGUUAUCAUUUGUAUAAUUGUAAAACCACGUCGUGGUGGUUUAGUUGCUAAGUCGUUUCCAACUCUUGCAACCCCAUGGACUGUAGCCCACCAGGCUCCCAUGUCCAAGGAAUUUCCCAGGCAGGAAUACUGAAGUGGGUGGCCAUUUCCUCCUGUGUGUGUGUGGGGGGG
ensembl:lncRNA